rnacentral:rRNA from 1 species
UUUAGACUUAAGAGCUAUUCAAAUAAGGCACAGCUUAUUUGAAAUAGGACACAACCUACAACAUAGGGUAAAUGAGAGUGACCUGAAUAAAGUGGGCCUAAAAGCAGCCACCUUCAGAAAAGCGUUAAAGCUUAACUACCUUCACUCAUAAUGCCUAAAAUCUCCACUAACCCUUCAUUACUACUGAACAAUUUUAUACUCAUAUAAAAGCUAUCAUGCUAGAACUAGUAACAAGAAACUGCUUUUCUCCUAAAUGUAAACAUAAACCAAAAUAGACCAUCUAUUGGUUAUUAACGUAAAUGCUAAACUGUAGCAACACUCACUAGAAAAUCCUAUAAACCCCAACGUUAACCUUACACCAGAACAUUACAGGAAAGAUUAAAAGAAAAAGAAGGAACUCGGCAAAUUUUAGCCUCGCCUGUUUACCAAAAACAUCGCCUCUUGACAAACAUAAGAGGUCCAGCCUGCCCAGUGACAAAGUUCAACGGCCGCGGUACCCUAACCGUGCAAAGGUAGCACAAUCACUUGUUCUUUAAAUGAGGACUCGUAUCAACGGCACUACGAGGGCUAUACUGUCUCCUUUUUCUAAUCAGUGAAACUGAUCUCCCCGUGAAGAAGCGGGGAUUGUAAUAUAAGACGAGAAGACCCCAUGGAGCUUUAAACUCACCAUGUACCCCUGUGCUCCCAUACCCCCAGACACAACAGACCUACAUGUUAGUUUUAGGUUGGGGUGACCACGGAGUAUAACUUAACCUCCAUAGCAAAUGGGCUAAUACCCUUAUCCACGAGACACAACUCUAAGAAUUACUAAACUAAUGCUUACGACCCGAUAUUCGAUCCAUGAACCAAGUUACCCUGGGGAUAACAGCGCAAUCUACUUCAAGAGCCCAUAUCGACAAGUAGGUUUACGACCUCGAUGUUGGAUCAGGGUAUCCCGGUGGUGCAGCCG